GAUGAACGCUGGCGGCGUGCCUAAUACAUGCAAGUCGAGCGAACAGACGAGGAGCUUGCUCCUCUGACGUUAACGGCGGACGGGUGAGUAACACGUGGAUAACCUACCUAUAAGACUGGGAUAACUUCGGGAAACCGGAGCUAAUACCGGAUAAUAUAUUGAACCGCAUGGUUCAAUAGUGAAAGACGGUUUUGCUGUCACUUAUAGAUGGAUCCGCGCCGCAUUAGCUAGUUGGUAAGGUAACGGCUUACCAAGGCAACGAUGCGUAGCCGACCUGAGAGGGUGAUCGGCCACACGGGAACUGAGACACGGUCCAGACUCCUACGGGAGGCAGCAGUAGGGACUCGUCCGCAAUGGGCGAAAGCCUGACGGAGCAACGCCGCGUGAGUGAUGAAGGUCUUCGGAUCGUAAAACUCUGUUAUGAGGGAAGAACAAAUGUGUAAGUAACUAUGCACGUCUUGACGGUACCUGAUCAGAAAGCCACGGCUAACUACGUG
rnacentral:rRNA from 1 species